rnacentral:rRNA from 1 species
CAUCACUGGUGUUCGGGUUGUCAUGCCAAUGGCACUGCCCGGUAGCUAAAUGCGGAAGAGAUAAGUGCUGAAAGCAUCUAAGCACGAAACUUGCCCCGAGAUGAGUUCUCCCUGAGACUUAGAGUCUCCUGAAGGAACGUUAAAGACGAUGACGUUGAUAGGCCGGGUGUGUAAGCGCAGCGAUGCGUUGAGCUAACCGGUACUAAUGAACCGUGAGGCUUAACCUUACAACGCCGAAG